UACGGAGGGGGCAAGCGUUGUUCGGAAUUAUUGGGCGUAAAGCGUAUGUAGGCGGCCGAUCAAGUUAGACGUGUAAGCCCCCGGCUCAACCGGGGAAUUGCGUUUAAUACUGUUCGGCUUGAGUUCGGAAGAGGAAAGCGGAAUUCCCAGUGUAGCGGUGAAAUGCAUUGAUAUUGGGAAGAACAUCGGUGGCGAAGGCGGCUUUCUGGUCCGAUACUGACGCUGAGAUACGAAAGCCAGGGGAGCGAACGGG
rnacentral:rRNA from 1 species